UAUUGAAUUAUUGAUGUAAUAUUAUAUUCCUGUGGGGUCAGGUCCUACACCUAUAUAAAGGACCCUAACCCUUCAAACUUAUUCAUUCGAUUCAUUCCCUUCAGAAUCAAUUCAAAGGCUAAUCAAAGCCAAUUCCUUGAGUUAUCAUUCGUAGAUAGAUUUUAUUUUACAGCAUUCCUAGAGUUAUCAUUCGUAGAUAGAUUUUAUUUUAUUUUACAGCAAUCCAAUUUUCAUUUUAAGGUGGUGUUGGCCUGCCUUUGGCUACCCCGUAGUCAUAAAACCAACAUUAGCGCCGUCCGUGGGGAACGCUACAAAAAGCCGUGUUCUCCUUCAAUAACAGAAAUUAUCAAAACUUAGCUAGGAUUUGAACUCCUCUCUUCUUAUUCAAAUUGUAAUCUCAUUUCCAUCAGACCACUAUCACCUCUAUGACAUUCAUCAUCAUGAUGAUUAUCAUUAUACUAUCAUCAUCUCAUCAAUCAUCAUCAAUCAUUAACAACGGCCGCCGAUCACCAGAAGAACACAAGGCCGCCGAUUCACCAUCUUCAACCGGAUAUCUACUACGCCAUCAACCAAGCUUUACCGUCGAUCUGACGGACCACCGCCUCAACCCACGGAAAACGAUCGACGGAGAGAGAGAAGGCCGGAGGCUCGUGGUUGCUGAGGUCGCUAAGAAGUAAGAACUCGCCGGGAAGAAGAAAAAGGAAAGAAGAGGGUUGAAAUCGCCAUAGCUGAAACCAAUCCGCUAUCCACCGCUGGGCUGCCACGCCAUCGGAGUUGCCGCCUGGAUUGCCUCGCUGGAACUUCACCGUCGUAGCUGCUGUGUUCACUGCGCCGACCUCCCUUCCAGCCAAAGCCGCCACCCGCCGCCAUAGGCCGUCAUGUUGCUACGCCACCGUCGAAAUGGUGACUAACCGGAGCCAGCAUGUCUGCGGCACCAUCGCCCCCAGGAUCGUUUUCUUGUAAAUCGAGGCGUCGCUCGCUCCGCUAUUGAAAAAUCUCGGCCAAAGUAGCUGUAGUUUGAGAAGGGUGAAAAGCAGAUAACAGAGGUCACUGGAUCUCCUCAUCGCUGAUCGACGCUGCUGUUGUUGGUUGGGUGGAGUGACACCGAAGGCUACCAUCAUCUUCAAGCCGCUACAUGGGUCACUGGAUCUCAUCGUCGCUGCCAUCGAUCGUCACCGUCGGAGCCGGUGACGGUAGCUGUGGUGAGAUGAUGGUGCGGCGGUUCAGGGACAGAGAAACAAUGGAGUUGUGCAAUAAUUGAUGAUGACGAGGCCAUGAUGGAUUGAUGAUGGGAACCCACGAAGACGAAGAUCCCAACAGUGAUUGAGGAAGGCAAUAACAAAUCCUCGAAGGCAUAGCUUGCACGGUUCCUCGGAGUCGGACUUGCACGGUUCCACGGAGUCGGACUUGCACGGUUCCCCAGAGUUGGACUUGCACGGUUCCCCAGAGUUGGACUUGCACGGUUCCCCAGAGUUGGACUUGCAUGGUUCCCCAGAGUUGGACUUGCACGGUUCCUCGGAGUUGGACUUGAAUGAUUCCUCGGAAUUGGACUUGUACAAUUUCUUAGAGUCGGAGUUACAUCGUUCCUCAGGGAUGGACCUGAAUGGUUCCCUAGAGAUGGACCUGCACGGUUUCUCGAAAAGCAGACUUGCACGGUUCUCCAAUGGUGGACUUUCGUGGUUCUCUAAAAAUCAGAUUUGCACAGAUCUGAGAUCUACAGACAGUCAAAUAUAUCAGAAUGCAGAUUUGUACGGUUCCUAGAGUCAGAUUUGCACAAGUCCCUGGAAUUGGAUGUGCGUAGAUCCAAGAUUUGCAGCCGGUCGAAUAUAUCAAGUACAUCAAUUAAGUACAAUAAAAGGCGACGGUGUUCGAUCUUCCCACCAAGAAAGGAGAAUGAAUAGUUCCAGAGAUAGCGGGCGAGCAAUCCUGAACAAUGAGUCUCCUAUCAAAUGAUGAUCUACCCAUCAAAGAUGCCUUCGUACACAGGCAAUGAAUUGGAUAUUCCAUCAAAGUUGAGAGAGGUAAAAGUUAUUAAAUGAGUUAUUUAUUUAUACUUUUACGAGUUAAUAACUCUUUUGUGAAAAUAUUACACUCAAAUUAUAUGGUGGAAAAAUAGAUCCUAUGGAUUUCCCUAGACCCUACGGAGUCCUUCAUUCAAACUGUAGAAUGGAAAUUGGACCAUAUGGAGUCCUCCAUUCAAAUUGUAGAAUGGAAAUUGGACCCUACGGAGUCCUCCAUUCGAAUCAUAGAAUGGAAAGCGGACCCUACGGAGUCCUCCAUUCAAGUUAUAGAAUGAAAAAUGGACCCUACGGAGUCCUCCACUCGUAUUGUAGUACGGGAUACAAAUCCUAAGGAGUUCACCCAUUUUUAUUCCGAGGAUAUGCGACUCAGAACAAGUGGAUACCCCUCUCGAAAAUAUAUACUUUUAUUCCGCUUCUUAGCGAUGUCGCUUUUUAGCGAUGAACAUAUUCCGCUUCUCAGCGAUGAAUCUAUACCGCUUCUCAGCGAUGGCGCUUUUCAGCGAUGAAUUUGUUCCGCUUUUCAGCGAUGAAUCUAUACCGCUUCUCAGCGAUGCCGCUUUUUCUAUUCCGCUUUUCAGCGAUGAAUUUAUACCGCUUUUCAGCGAUGAAUCUAUUCCGCUUCUCAGCGAUGUCGCUUUUCAGCGAUGAAUUUAUCUCGCUUGUUAGCAAUGCCGCUUUUCAGCGAUGAAUCUAUUUCGCUUCUCACUGAUACCGCUUUUCAGCGAUGAGUCUAUCCUGCUUCUUAGCGGUCAACAUGUGUAUCUUAUAUUCUUGUUCCUUAACAAGUAUAAAUUUGGGUGGUAUACUAGCCACUUAAAUGAUAUGAUAAAUUAGAAUGAUCUAUCGUAAAAGGGUCGGGAUACAACAAAAUUAUCCCUUAGAGAGAAGGUGGUUGAUUAUACAAAAUUCUGAUCGUAUGGUCAAAGUGAAUGGUAACCGGAACCAUUCAAACUUAUUGGUGGGCAAAUUAGUAGUUCGGUUUUGGACCGAGGAUGGCAAAGAAGGAGGAUGGUAAAUUGUAAUCAGCUGCGGGCUGAGGAUGGUUAGGAGCGCUCACAGAAACGGAGACCUGAGCAGUUGAUCUAAGCAGCACUUAACCUUUUUGCUUUCAUCUUUUAUUUUGCAAAUGUCAAUGACAGUAGUUCAUAAGAAAGGUUGCAACCUAUUAGGAAAACAAGAUUAAUAGAAAACUAAGUAUUCAGGAAAGGCAUGCAUUGCAUCGUUUGCAUUAUUGUGGUUUUAAGUUUUGCAGGAUGAUAUAUGGUUGGCAUAUAUACCACCCCCGGUUAUUAAUGCUAUAUUCUCUCACCUCUCGGUGAUCGACACAUACAUACCACCCCUAGUGGUUACUAUCUUUUCUCACCUCUCGAUGAUCAACAUGCAUACCACCCUCGGUGGUCGAUAUUAUUUCAACCGCUCGAAGGCGAUAUUAUUUCCGCUACUCGGCAAAUGGUAUUUUCUUAGCAAAAGGAAACUCAUGAUUGGAGAAGUUUUCCCCGAUCCAGGACUGUGAGCUAAUAUCCAUGGGUUAUCUGCCACCAAAUUGCUCAAAUUGAACCCUUAACUCGGAAAGUUUUCACUUGGUCCUGAAUCCUUGGAUGUUCAAUCUUCAUACCGAUAAGUUCUUGCAUUCUUUGCACUCCUUGAAAAUUUGUCAAUAUACAAUGCAAGAUCCGUGCUCGUUACCUGACAGAAGACUCAUUUGAAGAUCCAGCCAAAGGAAGCAACAUGAUUCCAUAAACAAUUCAAGAAGAUCCCUCAAAGUCCUAAAGAUUGCGCUCAUGGUUGUACUCUUUUUCCCUUAGCUAAGUUUUUUUUCCCACUGGGUUUUUCUUGGUCUAAGGUUUUUAACGAGGCAACCAGCGUAAAUCACACCCCUUAUACUCAACUCGGACUCAAGGGGCUCAACAUGGACUAUUAAGAUGUUCGUAGCAAACACAGACUUGGUAUUUGUUUUCUACUUUCUUAUGCCAUCACUUCAUGAGCCACAAGAAAGUGAGGGACUGGAUGUUGGAUAUGGUACUACGGCCCAUAAAGAUAUGAGGCCCAAAAUAUAUGGUUAUCCAGAUCAUACAUGAAGCUCAAUCAGAACUACAGCUCAGUCCAAGAUCAACCCCGAAUUAAAUAUUAUUUGUAUUGAAUUAUUGUAUUGAAUUAUUAUUGAAUUAUUGUAUUGAAUUAUUGAUGUAAUAUUAUAUUCCUGUGGGGUCAGGUCCUACACCUAUAUAAAGGACCCUAACCCUUCAAACUUAUUCAUUCGAUUCAUUCCCUUCAGAAUCAAUUCAAAGGCUAAUCAAAGCCAAUUUCUUCUUUCUCCUA